AGUAGACGUAAUUUUUUGCGGCAGUUCUACGGUUAAGAGCAAGUUGUUUAUAUACAUGUUUUGGAUUAGUAUGCUGAGCCGGCAAUGGAUACAUAUGAUAAAAGACAGUUUCUGGAGAUAAAUAGAUGGUUUGUUAGAGCAGAGGAGCUAGUACAGUUUUUUUUAAAGAAUGUAAGAUUAAUGACGUUUUUCCGAUGUCUAUAUACCGGAUUUGUUUACCGAUUAGAUUGAAGGUAAUUGAAAGACAAGUUAAGUAUAGAUGCUUAAGUUAUGCCCUCACUGAUGCUAGAAGGAACUUUUAUGCUGUGAAGAGGAAAGCAUGCCACAUUGAGUGUUUCCUGCUGGUGAAGUAUGGACAAGCUAUCCAGCAGACUCUCCAUGAUAUCCUGAUACUCUUACUGGCUUUCAGACAAAAGAUAAGAACCAGAUAUAUAAAAAAGUUUAAAUAGAUUUUGCUAAACCAACACAUCCAUGGAUAUGCUCCGAAAUUGAUUAUAGAUGAUGUCAUGGUGAUAGUCAGAGAUGUUAAUAUCCAGAGACUGGUAGAAGAUCUUAUUCUCAGAGGACCUACAGCAGUUCCCAAAAGUAUACCACAAUUGUGCACUAUGACUCCUCAUGUGGAUCAAUUGAUGGCAGAGUAUGAAGAAGUAUAUAUGGAGAAGGUAUGAUGGGAACUUAUUCUAAACAAGGGCAUUUGUCCUAAAAUAAAAAAGUCAAUUAAGAAACAAUGUGUUGAUGAUCUAUACGAAGAAUUGGAUAAAAGACCAAUCCAUCGUCUGUACCAGAGAUGAUAAGUCUAAGAAGAUGGCAUUUAUAAAGAGGGAACAUUAUGUGGACCUCUUACUUGAACUUCAUAGCU
rnacentral:lncRNA from 1 species